UACGUAGGGUGCGAGCGUUAAUCGGAAUUACUGGGCGUAAAGCGUGCGCAGGCGGUUUGUUAAGCCAGAUGUGAAAGCCCCGGGCUCAACCUGGGAACUGCGUUUGGUACUGGCAAGCUAGAGUACGGCAGAGGGGGGUGGAAUUCCACGUGUAGCAGUGAAAUGCGUAGAGAUGUGGAGGAACACCAGUGGCGAAGGCGACUUUCUGGUCUGUAACUGACGCUGAGGCGCGAAAGCGUGGGGAGCAAACAGG
rnacentral:rRNA from 1 species